rnacentral:rRNA from 1 species
CUUUCUCCGCCGGCGACCGGCGCACGGGUGAGUAACACGUAUGCAACCUGCCCCUGUCAGGGGGACAACCCGCCGAAAGGCGGGCUAAACCCGCGUACAUGCCACCGGGGCAUCCCGGAGGCAGGAAAGGCUUCGGCCGGACAGGGAUGGGCAUGCGGCGCAUUAGGCAGUAGGCGGGGGUAACGGGCCCACCUAACCGACGAUGCGUAGGGGUUCUGAGAGGAAGGUCCCCCACACUGGUACUGAGACACGGACCAGACUCCUACGGAAGGCAGCAG